AGUAUUUUUGUAUGACUAAUAUUAUUCAAGUACAUGAUAUUAUUUGAUUUAAUUGUUAUCUGAAUUAUGAUAAUGUAAUACUUACCCCCAGUGGUUUUAACCGCCUAUUUGCCUGUAUGGGUGAGUAGACGUUGUGCGUGAGUAGUGCUCGGUGAGUCUUUGCUUGGGAUAUCGGGAGCUUUCUCCGAUAUCGGUGUUGAGUCGGCUCUGAUCUAGGCUUGUUGUGUCAGUCUAGAUUAGGUUGUUUUAUUUUCCUU
rnacentral:lncRNA from 1 species